UACGGAGGGGGCUAGCGUUGUUCGGAAUUACUGGGCGUAAAGCGCACGUAGGCGGCUUUGUAAGUUAGAGGUGAAAGCCCGGAGCUCAACUCCGGAAUUGCCUUUAAGACUGCAUCGCUUGAAUCAUGGAGAGGUGAGUGGAAUUCCGAGUGUAGAGGUGAAAUUCGUAGAUAUUCGGAAGAAACACCAGUGGCGAAGGCGACUCACUGGACAUGUAUUGACGCUGAGGUGGCGAAAAGCGUGGGGAGCAAACAGG
rnacentral:rRNA from 1 species